AUUGAACGCUGGCGGCAAGCCUAACACAUGCAAGUCGAGCGGAUGAAGGGAGCUUGCUCCUGGAUUCAGCGGCGGACGGGUGAGUAAUGCCUAGGAAUCUGCCUGGUAGUGGGGGAUAACGUCCGGAAACGGGCGCUAAUACCGCAUACGUCCUGAGGGAGAAAGUGGGGGAUCUUCGGACCUCACGCUAUCAGAUGAGCCUAGGUCGGAUUAGCUAGUUGGUGGGGUAAAGGCCUACCAAGGCGACGAUCCGUAACUGGUCUGAGAGGAUGAUCAGUCACACUGUAACUGAGACACGGUCCAGACUCCUACGGGAGGCAGCAGUGGGGAAUAUUGGACAAUGGGCGAAAGCCUGAUCCAGCCAUGCCGCGUGUGUGAAGAAGGUCUUCGGAUUGUAAAGCACUUUAAGUUGGGAGGAAGGGCAGUAAGUUAAUCCCUUGCUGUUUUGACGUUACCAACAGAAUAAGCACCGGCUAACUUCGUG
rnacentral:rRNA from 1 species